rnacentral:rRNA from 1 species
CCUACGGGAGGCAGCAGUGAGGAAUAUUGGUCAAUGGACGAGAGUCUGAACCAGCCAAGUAGCGUGAAGGAUGACUGCCCUAUGGGUUGUAAACUUCUUUUAUAAAGGAAUAAAACGAGGCACGUGUGCCUUUUUGCAUGUACUUUAUGAAUAAGGAUCGGCUAACUCCGUGCCAGCAGCCGCGGUAAUACGGAGGAUCCGAGCGUUAUCCGGAUUUAUUGGGUUUAAAGGGAGCGUAGGUGGGUUGUUAAGUCAGUUGUGAAAGUUUGCGGCUCAACCGUAAAAUUGCAAUUGAUACUGGCAGUCUUGAGUACAGUUGAGGUAGGCGGAAUUCGUGGUGUAGCGGUGAAAUGCGUAGAUAUCACGAAGAACCCCGAUUGCGAAGGCAGCUUACUAAACUGUGACUGACAUUGAUGCUCGAAAGUGUGGGUAGCAAACAGGAUUAGAUACCCGAGUAGUC